AUACCAUGAUGGGAGCAUUUCCUUAACAACUCCUUGAAGCCCUCCCAUACAUCUUAUAAAGACUCCCUGUCAUUUUGAUGGAAAUUAUUAAUUUCACCUCUCAACUU